rnacentral:rRNA from 1 species
AGAGUUUGAUCCUGGCUCAGAACGAACGCUGGCGGCGUGCUUAACACAUGCAAGUCGAACGCGAAAGGGACUUCGGUCCUGAGUAAAGUGGCGCACGGGUGAGUAACGCGUGGAUAAUCUACCCAAUGGUCCGGGAUAACAUUUCGAAAGGGGUGCUAAUACCGGGUAAGACCACGAAGUCUUCGGGCUUUGCGGUAAAAGGUGGGGACCUUCGGGCCUACCGCCGUUGGAUGAGUCCGCGUACCAUUAGCUAGUUGGUAGGGUAAAGGCCUACCAAGGCGACGAUGGUUAGCUGGUCUGAGAGGAUGAUCAGCCACACUGGAACUGAGACACGGUCCAGACUCCUACGGGAGGCAGCAGUGGGGAAUUUUGCGCAAUGGGGGAAACCCUGACGCAGCAACGCCGCGUGAGUGAUGAAGGCCUUCGGGUCGUAAAGCUCUGUCGGAGGGGAAGAAAUGCGGGUGGCUAAUAUCCAUUCCGCUUGACGGUACCCUCAAAGGAAGCACCGGCUAACUCCGUGCCAGCAGCCGCGGUAAUACGGAGGGUGCGAGCGUUGUUCGGAAUUAUUGGGCGUAAAGCGCGUGUAGGCGGUUUGUUAAGUCUGAUGUGAAAGCCCCGGGCUCAACCUGGGAAGUGCAUUGGAAACUGGCAGACUUGAAUACGGGAGAGGGUAGUGGAAUUCCUAGUGUAGGAGUGAAAUCCGUAGAUAUUAGGAGGAACACCGGUGGCGAAGGCGGCUACCUGGACCGAUAUUGACGCUGAGACGCGAAAGCGUGGGGAGCAAACAGGAUUAGAUACCCUGGUAGUCCACGCCGUAAACGAUGAGUACUAGGUGUUGCGGGUAUUGACCCCUGCAGUGCCGCAGCUAACGCAUUAAGUACUCCGCCUGGGAAGUACGGUCGCAAGACUAAAACUCAAAGGAAUUGACGG